UGUGACAACAAAUACAUUUAUUUCUCACAUUCCUCUGACCAAUACUGCAGCGGUCCACAGUGGGCCGCCAGGAUCCAGUGCUCUGACUGGGGGUCUCUGCAAAAUCAGCUCAUAGGGAACAUGCUUAACACACUUGGAAAAGAUUUGCUGUGGAUGCUCCUGAAGCACUCACGGAGUCAAUUGCAGUUACUUCGAAAAUAAUCGAGUAGCCUGGGGAUACACAAGAAGUUGGGAGGGGACACGGACAGGACAGCUGACCCCAACUGACUGAAGGGAUAUCCUAUACCAUAUGACACUGAUAAAAAGCUCAAGGAAAGGAGGAGGAAGUGGGAAUGUUUGGAGUGAUGGCCUUUGUCUCCACAUGUAACCAUUACACGUGACGGAGCCCUGCUUUCCUGGGGAUGGCUGA